UACGCACGGGCCCCAUCCUCUCUGCUUUGUAUAUUAAUUACAUUUUCACCCGGAGCUGAAGUUCCCUGGUCACUGAUCAGAGGGAGCUUAGCCUUCACCACAAUGCAAGCGCUGGAGGAGACCCCUGCAGACCAUUGCCCGUGCAGAUUCUUGCUACAAUGCACUAAAAAGAGGCAUGAAACAGGAAAUAUUAUGGGAUAAACUUCGCUGUGAACAAAAAGAAGCAAGAGAAACAUUUUACUGGGCGCACACUGGAACCAAAUGAAAUUGACGGACAUCCUUGGUUGUCCUCUGAUUCUGCCUGCCAGGUCAGCUAACGGGUGCCUCCACAAUAUAACUUCUUGACAUACUUGUACUGCUGCAAAAUAUUCUCCCGCUGUUGAAGAAAGGGUUAGAGACAAUUGCUUUUCUGCUAGUCCAGCACAUUGCUUGGUCCUGCCCUCCUUCUCUGAUUGGUCCACCGACGGUUCAUACUACAGUAUCAAUGGUUUUCCAUUGCUGUUUCCUGUCAUCGAUGGAAAGGUACUGAUGACAACAUCAAUGGUAACAUGACCACACACAUAAAUCGGGAAGAGACCCACGCUCCUGCACCUAUGGACAGAGUGAGGUGCCGUCAGAAGAGGUCAGAUCUGGCUAGCCGGAAACUGGGAUGACCUUCCUCAUAUUGAUAUUUGCUUCGUUGCCACAGAAAGACCGCCUAGUCCUUCAUCUCAUCUGGAUAUAGUUUCACAUGGGAACUGUACUUUUCUGACUGUCUUGUAACUAUU